rnacentral:pre_miRNA from 9 species
UUUCGAUCGCGUAAAAGUUAACUCAAAUUUGUAUGGACUUGGAACCGUUACCUACGUUUGCCGCUAGGGGCGCUGUUCAAACUGCACACAAAUUUGAAUUAACUUUUACGCUAUCGA